UUUAAUUCACCGUAUCCCUUAAAAUCAGCAUAGCUCCUCUUUAUUCUGAUUCUACCCAAAAAAUCAGAGAAAGUACUCAAAAUUCCAUUUAUACUCUUUCACGAUCCUGUUUUAUUUGCAAUAUCAUAUUCAACAUUCAACUCAUCCGUUCUCUCUCAACAAACCCUAGCCGUCAUCAUCACUACCACCGUCUUCCAGUGCCUUCACCUUUGGUGACGAGUCAGACCAUCGGUUGUGGCUUUCAUCCAUCAUCUCUCUAUUUGGAGCAUCUUUUCAUCUCUUUUAUUGCUCUCAAUAACCCUAUAAAUAAUGAAAAUUGAGGGAAAUUAAAACCGAACCACCGCCAUCAAACUGCAUCACAAUUCCAUUUCUCUAUUUUUCAAUUAAAACAGGAAGAAGAUCUGGUUACAGGUAUUAUAUAGAACUGAUGCAAACCUAACCUAUUAAACCUUUUAAUUUCAGGUGUUAAACACACUUUGCCAUGAAGCUUGAAGCUAAAACCAAACAACCACUUCACAUUUACGAUUUAUCAUCUCCUGGUUUGUAUGUGUUUACCCUUUUUUUUUUUUUUUUUUUCUGAAGUAUCAAUUACUUAUGAAAGAGUCAACAAUCUCCAUCGUAAGUUUUGUUAUCCACUCUGCACUCCGUGUAGCGGUUGAAAUGCCUUAAUGGGUUUUUUGGACGUUAUCUAUGUUGUUUUCCAUAUUUUUUUAUAUAAGUUUUUUUCAAAUUUUUUAUUUCACCAUAACAGAGCUUGCAUUUAAGAGGUCAUUGUGUUGUUGGUCAGCUGUUAGAUGUACAAUGUACAAUCACGAGGACACUUGGUAUCUUACAUUUCAAACCCUUUUUUUCUUUAAAAAAUUUCUAAUACAAUUUUAAUCAGUAAUUUAUUUUCCCAAUUUGCCAAAACUGUCAAAACAUUGAUUAUUUGACUAUAAAAAGUCAAAAUGUAUAAUUUUGUGUCUGUUUUGUUUAGAUGAGAUUGCGAUCUGGGAGCUAUAACCCCAUGGUGUUUACAAGAUGUAUAAGGACCAUGAAGAAAUUUUGUGAAAAUUAGUUCUUAGUUGGAGUGAUAAAUUAUCGUUGGAAGAAUCAUCUUGAACUUGUCAAGAUUAGUGCUAUUUGUUCAAUAGCCUACUCAAAUGGAAAAAGAUACAGGUUUUGGUGAAUACUUUCAAAUGCUUUUUGAGGAGACCAACAACAAAGGAUUCGAGUCACUGGAGGAUUUUACUACUCAGAAGAUGUAGACCGGUAAACUUUAAGCAUUUUGUGGGACCUUGCUGUUGUUUUGUAUUUAUGAUUUUACCCUUGUCCAUAAAUUUACUUUAUCUUGAUGGUUCUUGAACUUCAACCAUAAUAAGAAGCAAAUUAUCUAAAUAUUUUUAAACUGGGAAGUGGCAAGUGCAGUCCAGAGAACUGACAGUUGACUAGGAAUAGCAACAUAUUUAUAUUGUUUUGUUUAUUAUAGCAUUAUACUUUUAUUUCUUCUAUUUGUAACAUCGUAGUUUGAAGAAAUCACCAAAUUCUAGCAAGUAAUUUAUUGUGUAUUAUUUUUUC